CACGUAGGCACCAAGCGUUGUCCGGAUUUACUGGGCGUAAAGGGCUCGUAGGCGGCCAACUAAGUCGGAUGUGAAAUCCCCAGGCUCAACCUGGGAACUGCAUCCGAUACUGGAUGGCUUGAAUUCGGGAGAGGGAUGCAGAAUUCCAGGUGUAGCGGUGAAAUGCGUAGAUAUCUGGAGGAAUACCGGUGGCGAAGGCGGCAUCCUGGACCGACAUUGACGCUGAUGAGCGAAAGCUAGGGGAGCAAACGGG
rnacentral:rRNA from 1 species